AUUGAACGCUGGCGGCAGGCUUAACACAUGCAAGUCGAGCGGAGACUUCGGUCUUAGCGGCGAACGGGUGAGUAAUACCUAGGAAUCUGCCUAUUAGUGGGGGAUAACGAAUCGAAAGGUUCGCUAAUACCGCAUACGUCCUACGGGAGAAAGGGGGGGAUCUUCGGACCUCUCGCUAAUAGAUGAGCCUAGGCCGGAUUAGCUAGUUGGUAGGGUAAAGGCCUACCAAGGCGACGAUCUGUAGCUGGUCUGAGAGGAUGGCCGAGCCACACUGGAACUGAGACACGGUCCAGACUCCUACGGGAGGCAGCAGUGGGGAAUAUUGGACAAUGGGGGGCAACCCUGAUCCAGCCAUGCCGCGUGAGUGAAGAAGGCCCUCGGGUUGUAAAGCUCUUUUGUCCGGAAAGAAAAGCGCCGGGUUAAUACCCUAGUGUCCCUGACGGUACCGGAAGAAUAA
rnacentral:rRNA from 1 species